AAAAAGACUUAUUCUUGGGGCUGAAACAUACCAAGAAAUGACAAAAAUAACAUUUACGAACUCAUUCAGGUACACAAUAAAGCAGCAAGCAUGCUGAAAAAUAUUGUUGAAAGUUUUAGAAAAAGCAAAAAACGUUUUGCAGAUGACACGGAUGCCUGCAAAGUCAUCUUAUGGUUGAAAAACAAUUUUGUUAAACAUAAUGCCAAAUUAUGAUUACUCCCUCAAUCUAUGCUUCAAUCAUAUUAGAGCAAAAACACAAAGGACAAAUAACAAGCAUUCCUUCUACCAUUUGCAUCCAACUCUUUUCUUUACCAAGAGCAUGGUCAGAGUCAGAAUAAUGAAGAUAGGAAGAGUUAUCAGAUGAUACAAUUUUUCUGUUGCUUCAACUUCAGCAAAACACGUCCGGUACCAGGUACAAAUUCCAAAAUUAUGCCCCUAUAGCAACAGGAAGAGUAAUCCUAACAGAUUGAAAUUGCGUCAAUCCAAUUCUUGCUUGCUCUUACUUCUUUUCAUUUUUGCCUUAAACCUCGAUUUUGCCACAAGUGUCUGAACAGUAUUGAGGAAAUUUCCAGCUGCCAUAAAAACCAGAAGGAUCCCACAGAAUAUUACCUGCCACUCAGAUACAACCCUUACGAAUGCAGUCCUGAGCAACAGAAGUCCAACAUAUGCCUCAAAACCCUGUAAAAUGAAGAGAAUAGGGCACAAAAGCCAUAAUUGGCCUUCCACUCCAGCUGUUUCACCCCAAACAACAUCCAUUCUCUUGGCCUUCCCCAAGGCAAUACGAGUAUAAAGUCUUUGGCGUUGAUAUCUGU
rnacentral:misc_RNA from 1 species